AUUGAACACUGGCGGCAGGCCUAACACAUGCAAGUCGAGCGGGGUUUUCGGACCUAGCGGCGGACGGGUGAGUAAUGCGUAGGAAGCUACCCGAUAGAGGGGGAUACCAGUUGGAAACGACUGUUAAUACCGCAUAAUGUCUACGGACCAAAGUGUGGGACCUUCGGGCCACAUGCUAUCGGAUGCGCCUACGUGGGAUUAGCUAGUUGGUGGGGUAAUGGCUCACCAAGGCGACGAUCCCUAGCUGGUUUGAGAGGAUGAUCAGCCACACUGGAACUGAGACACGGUCCAGACUCCUGCGGGAGGCAGCAGUGGGGAAUAUUGGACAAUGGGCGCAAGCCUGAUCCAGCCAUGCCGCGUGUGUGAAGAAGGCCUUCGAGUUGUAAAGCACUUUCAGUAGGGAGGAAGGGUGUUGUGUUAAUAGCACAGCAUUUUGACGUUACCUACAGAAGAAGCACCGGCUAACUCUGUGCCAGCCGCCGCCGUAAAAC
rnacentral:rRNA from 1 species